rnacentral:tRNA from 1 species
GUCCCUAUAGUUCAAUGGAUAGAAUACCUCCGUCCUAAGGAGUAGAUCUACGUUCGAAUCGUAGUGGGGAUACCA